rnacentral:rRNA from 1 species
UACGUAGGUGGCAAGCGUUGUCCGGAUUUACUGGGCGUAAAGAGCGCGCAGGCGGUCGAGUAAGUCGAAUGUGAAAGCCCCCGGCUUAACUGGGGAGGGUCAUUCGAUACUGUUCGACUUGAAGGCAGGAGAGGGCAGCAGAAUUCCCGGUGUAGUGGUGAAAUGCGUAGAUAUCGGGAGGAAUACCAGUGGCGAAGGCGGCUGCCUGGCCUGUUCUUGACGCUGAGGCGCGAAGCUAGGGAGCAAACGGG